rnacentral:tRNA from 1 species
GCCGCGGUGUCGGAAUUGGUAGACGAACGCGACUCAAAAUCGCGCGGGGUAACCCAUGAGAGUUCGAUUCUCUCCCGCGGCA